rnacentral:rRNA from 1 species
UAGAGUUUGAUCAUGGCUCAGGACGAACGCUGGCGGCGUGCCUAAUACAUGCAAGUCGAGCGCGGGAAGCAAACAGAUCUCCUUCGGGAGUGACGUUUGUGGAACGAGCGGCGGAUGGGUGAGUAUCACGUGGGCAACCUGCCUGUAAGAUCGGGAUAACUCGCGGAAACGUGAGCUAAUACCGGAUGAAGUCUUACGCCACCUGGCGUAAGGAUGAAAGAUGGCCUUUGUGCUAUCACUUACAGAUGGGCCCGCGGCGCAUUAGCUAGUUGGUAGGGUAAUGGCCUACCAAGGCGACGAUGCGUAGCCGACCUGAGAGGGCGAUCGGCCACACUGGGACUGAGACACGGCCCAGACUCCUACGGGAGGCAGCAGUAGGGAAUCUUCCGCAAUGGACGAAAGUCUGACGGAGCAACGCCGCGUGAGUGAUGAAGGUCUUCGGAUCGUAAAACUCUGUUGUCAGGGAAGAACAAGUGACGUUCGAAUAGGGCGUGACCUUGACGGUACCUGACCAGAAAGCCCCGGCUAACUACGUGCCAGCAGCCGCGGUAAUACGUAGGGGGCAAGCGUUGUCCGGAAUUAUUGGGCGUAAAGCGCGCGCAGGCGGUCCUUUAAGUCUGAUGUGAAAGCCCACGGCUUAACCGUGGAGGGUCAUUGGAAACUGAGGGACUUGAGUACAGAAGAGGAGAGUGGAAUUCCACGUGUAGCGGUGAAAUGCGUAGAGAUGUGGAGGAACACCAGUGGCGAAGGCGACUCUCUGGUCUGUAACUGACGCUGAGGUGCGAAAGCGUGGGUAGCAAACAGGAUUAGAUACCCUGGUAGUC